ACGGCCGCGGUAUCAUAACCGUGCGAAGGUAGCAUAAUAAAUUGUUCUCUAAAUAGGGACUAGUAUGAAAGGCACCACGAGGGCUUAACUGUCUCCCUUUUCCAAUUAAUGAAACUGAUCUUCUCGUGAAGAAGCGAGAAUAAAAAUAUAAGACGAGAAGACCCCAUGGAGCUUUAAACUCAUCAUCAUUUACUUUUUUCACAUCAUCACAUAUAGUAAAAAUGUUAACUGAUAGUUUUCGGCUGGGGUGACCCUGGAGAAAAACAAAUCCUCCAGGAUGAACGGAAUAAUAAUCCUAAUCAAAGAGUCACAACUCUAAAAAUCAAAACAUUGACAUCAUUUGAUCCAAUUACUUGAUCAACGAACCAAGUUACCCUGGGGAUAACAGCGCAAUCCAUUUCAAGAGCCCCUAUCGACAAAUGGGUUUACGACCUCGAUGUUGGAUCGGGGUAUCCCAGUGGCGCAGCCGCUACUAAAGGUUCGUUUGU
rnacentral:rRNA from 1 species